AUUUAAAUGCAGCUUUUCAGGAAUACAUUUCUUAUGUAAAGUGAGGUACACCCAUGUAUUCAUCUUAAGUUUCCUCCAAGGACAAUCCAGCACUUUGCUUCCAUUCACAGGACAGGGGAACAGAUAGUACUUGUGAAAGAAGUCAGCGGCCCCUCUUGGACUGCCCUCCUCACCUUUCUCAGGAGCCAAGGCUGUGAGGAAUCCAAACAACAAAGUCCCACCUGCAGCCACAGUCCUUCCACUCUCCACCAACAAGGCUCCUUCUACAACCAGAAAUUUGCUUCACCUUGGUCCAGAAAAACGUGAAUCGGGAACAGUUGUGUAUGAGAUUUGGAGGCUGCACGGGCCACAAAUAUGGCCUGUGGCAGAUGGGGAAAUUUAGGAAACCGCCUCAACGGCUUCUUGCUGCUAAGCUAUUUCAUUUCUGCACUGGUCACAAGAGCAAAAAUGGGUGUUUGAAGAACUUACUCCCAUGAUGCGGCAG
rnacentral:lncRNA from 1 species